rnacentral:rRNA from 1 species
AUUGAACGCUGGCGGCAAGCCUUACACAUGCAAGUCGAACGGCAGCACGGGAGCAAUCCUGGUGGCGAGUGGCGAACGGGUGAGUAAUAUAUCGGAACGUGCCCAGUCGUGGGGGAUAACGUAGCGAAAGCUACGCUAAUACCGCAUACGAUCUAUGGAUGAAAGCGGGGGAUCGCAAGACCUCGCGCGAUUGGAGCGGCCGAUAUCAGAUUAGGUAGUUGGUGAGGUAAAGGCUCACCAAGCCGACGAUCUGUAGCUGGUCUGAGAGGACGACCAGCCACACUGGGACCGAGACACGGCCCAGACUCCUACGGGAGGCAGCAGUGGGGAAUUUUGGACAAUGGGCGCAAGCCUGAUCCAGCAAUGCCGCGUGCAGGAUGAAGGCCUUCGGGUUGUAAACUGCCUUUGUACGGAACGAAACGGCGAGCUCUAAUACAGCUUGCUAAUGACGGUACCGUAAGAAUAAGCACCGGCUAACUACGUGCCAGCCGCCGCCGUAA